rnacentral:rRNA from 1 species
CGGAGGGGGCGAGCGUUAUUCGGAAUUAUUGGGCGUAAAGGGCGCGUAGGCGGCUUGUUAAGUCAAAGGUGAAAUCCCUCGGCUCAACUGAGGAACUGCCUUUGAAACUAGCGAGCUUGAGGCCGGGAGGGGGUAGCGGAAUUCCCAGUGUAGCGGUGAAAUGCGUAGAUACUGGGAGGAACACCAGUGGCGAAGGCGGCUACCUGGACCGGUACUGACGCUGAGGCGCGAAAGCGUGGGUAGCAAACAGGAUUAGAUACCCUGGUAGUCCACGCUGUAAACGAUGGGUGCUCGGUGUCGCGGGUAUCGACCCCUGCGGUGCCUUAGCUAACGCGUUAAGCACCCCGCCUGGGGAGUACGGUCGCAAGGCUG